UAUACCUAUAGAGCUGUUGCAGGUUUGGCUACUGUGUCACAUGUACAUCAGUAGGUGGUAAGAAGAGAGAGGCUAUAUCUACAUUGAGUCUUCUGACCUGUGAACAUCUGAUUACUAGUCUAACACU